AUUGAACGCUGGCGGCAUGCUUUACACAUGCAAGUCGAACGGUAACAGGCCGCAAGGUGCUGACGAGUGGCGAACGGGUGAGUAAUGCAUCGGAACGUGCCCAGUCGUGGGGGAUAACUGCUCGUAAGAGCAGCUAAUACCGCAUACGAUCUAUGGAUGAAAGCGGGGGACCGUAAGGCCUCGCGCGAUUGGAGUGGCCGAUGUCAGAUUAGGUAGUUGGUGGGGUAAAGGCUCACCAAGCCAACGAUCUGUAGCUGGUCUGAGAGGACGACCAGCCACACUGGGACUGAGACACGGCCCAGACUCCUACGGGAGGCAGCAGUGGGGAAUUUUGGACAAUGGGGGCAACCCUGAUCCAGCAAUGCCGCGUGCAGGAAGAAGGCCUUCGGGUUGUAAACUGCUUUUGUACGGAACGAAACGGUCUGGGUUAAUACCCUGGGCUAAUGACGGUACCGUAAGGAUAAGCACCGGCUAACUACGUGCCAGCCGCCGCGGUAACAC
rnacentral:rRNA from 1 species